CUCUUGUGAAGCCCACAGAAAUUUUCUUAGGGUACAGAGGCGACACGGCAAGAAAGCAGGGGAAAUUGAAGUACUGGCUGCAGACACUUGCCAGUAUAUCCCCAUUAUUGACACCAUAAAGUUUCUCUUUAAAAGUGAAAAGAUGCAGAGACUCUCUCAGCAAUCUAAAAAAGGUGUUGAUGGUAAAAUGCAUGAUUAUUGUGAUGGCACACAGUUUACACAUCAUGCAUUAUACAAUAGAUAUCCUAAUGCCCUACAAAUCCAACUUUAUUUUGAUGACUUGGAAACGACUAAUCCUUUAGGUUCAAAAACCAAAGUUCACAAAAUGGGAGCAGUUUACUUUUGCUUGAGAAACUUGCCCGUGCAAUUCAACUCAUCCCUUGCAAACAUUCACCUUUGUCUACUCUUCAAUGCUAUGCUAUAGACAGAGAGUAUGUAGUAGAGGUAUAUGGCUUUGGCAAAAUACUAGAGCCUUUGUUGGAUGACAUUCAAUUUCUUGAAACAGAAGGGAUAGAGGUUGAGUUGUUUAAAUUGAUGUAUUUACUGCAUUUUGUCUAUACAAAUGUUAGUUUGCAGUGGUCAUUUGGGAAAAACAAAUAUGUGAACAUCUGUCAAAUGUUUUAAUAUGAAAUUAAUCAAAUAAAAUUGUGACCUAAAUGUCUUAGUUGUUUAUUGUGAGUGUUUUAGAGCAUAUUUACCAUGAAAAAAUUGCAUUUUAAGAAUGCUUUUUAGAAAAAGUAUAAAUCUUAUUUUUAACACAUCUUUUGUGUUAAAUUAACACAUCUUUUGGGUUAUUUUAACACAUUGUUAUGUUGAAAUAUAGAACACACAACGUGUGUUAAAUGUUCUGACACACUGGCUGUGUUAAAAGCAACACAGAAUGUGUUGUCCUUAACUAGACACACAGAUGUGUUAAAAAUUAACACAUGAUGUGUUAUUUUUAACACAUCUGUUUUGAGAGUGUAGCUACUCGCUGGAAUUCCGUUUUUUACAUGCUGGAGAGGCUCUUUGAGCAAAAGGAAGCUGCGACCACAGCCCUCUGCCUUUUAGGGAGGAACACAUUGUGCUUAGAUGAGGGAGAAUUAUCCCUCAUCAAGCAAACAGUUGAUGCACUAUGGCCAAUUCAAGAAGUGACACGAGAGGUUUCAUCUGAAAAGUAUGUUUCAGUCUCCAAAGUGAUUCCGCUUGUGUCACUUAUUCACAGGGCUGUAGCAGCCUGUGAACGUCAAGGCAGCUCCCUUGCCACACAACUGGCACAGCAAUGUCAGUGCAGAUUCAGGGGUAUUCAGAGAAUUUACUGUCUAGCUGCCAGUACAUUUCUGGAUGUUAGAUUCAAACAUGUUGGUUUUCGAGACAAAGACAAUGUGGAGGUAAUGAAAAAGCGUCUCCUUUCUGAAAUACAGGAAUUCUAUCAGACAGGACAGGCAGCUCCCAGUUUAGCCCCAAGCUCAACAGCUACUGUUAGCUCUACCUCAGGGCCUUCUUCCUCUGGGCCUUCUGCCUCAGAGCCAAACCAGAGUCCUGCCCCCUCAGGUUCAGCUGUAUUAAAAGGAGGCAUAUGGACUGAUUUUGACAUGCAGGUUUUGUCAGGACAACAUCGCCGGUCAGCUACCAGCAAUGUGCUCAUUGAAGUACGUCGGUACUCAGAAGAAAAAGUGAUUCCCAGAGACAGGGAUGCACUGGUUUGGUGGAAAGAACAUGACCAAACCUUCCCAGCCCUGAGCAAACUAGCAGUGAGAUACCUGGGAAUUACUGCCACUUCUGUACCAGCAGAGAGUCUUUUCAAAGGCAGGAGAGGUUUUUAGUGAUGGAAACACCUUUUUCAAACACUCCAGGACUCCUGGCUCUCAAAGGGGAUUUACAAGGACUGGCUGGUUAAGGAAAUCCACACAGUAAAUUUGCCAGUGUCAAAAAGGCAGUGUCAAACUAUUUUAAUUCUUCCGGAGUUCUUCCAACAAUGGACAGAGUAAAAUUGAACCAGAAAACUUCCAGUGUUGGUGAAAAUAAUCGGAGUUAACAGAGGUUUUACUCUGUCAGUGUUAUUGACUCUCUCAGGCCCUGAUUCAACACUGAUUAGAGCAAGAUACCUUCCAGAGUAUCACAAAAAAUACUCUGGAAAGCCCCGCCCACCAACUUUCCCGGUCAAACUGAGAAUGUGGAUUCUGGCAUCGCCAUCUUCCUCGCAUCGAAAUACUGUGGUAAGUCUUUCUACUAUAAACUAUUCCCGUUGUUUUUCUUCAUUCCAGUAGAAUCUGUAUAAGAAUAAAGGGACGUAUUCAUUCACCACACUAGUCAAUGUUGGGUACGUGUCUUCAAAUACCGAAUUUCAAAUGGCUAACGUGAUUAUCGGGUGGGUGGUUAGCUUAAAUGUAGCAGCCACAUGUCUGACCUCGCAACACCAAACUGAACAAAAACGACACGAGGUAACGUUAAUGUCAGCGAGGACGAGCUGUCGUGGUGUGUUAUGUGUCAUGCUUGCACAUUUAUUUCAGUAAAAUGACGACAAAAAUUCGUUGAAGCAGUCAUAUUUAUUAUUUCUAUUUGAGCCGGAGCAAAUCGCUUUAGCGUCACGUCACAAUUUGGUCGAGCAUAGCGGGACAUGUCGCGGACAUGCGGACGUGCUCAUAGGACCCGCUAGUUCACCGGCAGACUGCGGAAUGCACCGAGUCGACCCAGUUAACGUGAACGGAGCCGCGGCUCCGAGAGGCUCGGUUCCCGUUAGCUGCUGCUGUAGCCAUAGAUAUAUAAAGAGUAGACGCUGCAUUGGCUGCUGAGGCGCAAAAAAAAACAAAUAUUUUUUAUUAUAUUAUAUACCAGAAUAUUAUUACUGUUACGCCUACUAUGAAUAUUAAAAUACGCCGAAUCAUGUUUUCGGUGUCAUGCCUACAAAAUCCCGUGAACAUCCGCUUUUGUAUUCAGCGAGUGAUGCGCUGACACUUCGUUGCGCCAGCUGGCACUGAGUGGAGCGGGUGACCGGUCCAAGUUGGCGGCCCCGCGGCUCGUCAGCACCACUAGGCAGCAGCGGUCGAUGUAUAUUCUUUAUGUCUAUGGCUGUAGCUGCUGUAAGCUUAAUGUAUGCUUCCACGUUACGGCGGCGGCGGGUGUGGCUGUGUGUUUCUGCGGGUGCCGAAUCCUUGGUGAGCCGAAUCUCAUAUUGAAGCGCAGGCUAUGGAGAAGACGUGAAUUUACAACACUGGUUCACCCACUGAGGGACCUGGACGAGCAAGUGCACUUUCGAUACUUUCGAAUGUCAGCAACUGCCGCAAAUUACGUUCUGAGCGGACCAAUCACAGCACUUGCGGUCCACGUCAACUCGACUCGCAGUUAGAUUUUUUCGGAGGUGCACGUCAGGCUACGGCGGAGGAGUCUACGUAGUUACUUAUUAUGUAUAUUUUCCUUUUUUCUUUCAGGUUGUUCUUUAAUGUACUGUGGUGCUCUGGUGAUACCAUCAUGUUGAUCAAAACAGUCCUGUCAUCCAGCACCAACCAAGAUCUUUGCCACUGUGAUAAGAUGUGAGCUUUACAUGUUUUAGGUUUACUUUUGAUGCCAAUAUUUCAUGUUUACUUGGAAUAAAUAUGUAUUACAGUAUGGAUACAAUUGUCUGUGUGUUUUUCCCCCUGCAUAGAUAUGCAACACUGGUAGGAGUUGGUUAAAAAUCAACACUCUUUGGAGUGAUUUCAUAAUCAACAUAGUGUAAAGUAGGUUUAACACUGGAAAGGUUAUUUCUUUUAUAACUAUUUAGUGUUACAUGUGAAUAACACUAUGGGUGUUACUUCUUACAUAGUGUAAAACUUGAUUGACACUUCUUAGAGUUAAUAUUAUUACACUACACUGCACCUAGUGUAAAAUUUUAACUCUAACCAGAGUAAAAUUGACUCUGGAAAUUUAACUCUGUGUUCAGUGUACAUUUAACACUCUGUAGAUAGGGACCAUAUGUUCACUGAGGUAGUGUUAAAAUUGACUCUUUAAGUGUUGUAUUAACACUGGCGAUUUUACUGUGU
ensembl:lncRNA